rnacentral:lncRNA from 1 species
AUAUAAUCAACAAUUUUUUUUCAACGAAUGGGGGGCAGGGCCUCCAGGCCUCCCCUGGGAUCCGCCUAUGGUUUAUAAUCAACGGCGGUCACUGCGGAUAUAUUUCUGUACAUACUUACAUGUAUACAUUUACUAUGAAUAACUGUAUUUGUUAUAAUUUACUAUAAAUUCCUUUUCUGUACCUUGAACAUACAAAGACUAUGAAUAAAGUAUAUAAAUUUGCUAUCUGCUAUCAUUUUGAGUUAGCAUUCAUAAUACUUGCUUUGGUUAUUUUGGGAGGAAAACGAAAAUGAAUAAUAUUGGCUAUUUACUAUCAAUUAGUUUACAGUGGCGGAUCCAGAACUUUUCAUAAGGGAGGGGGCACUGACUGA